CACACACCGUGCUGAAGGCUGUGUGCGCUGGCGUCUGUGGUGCCUGUCACCCAUCUAUUUCGUCAGAGCAGCUUCAAAAGGACUGUACGAGAUGUGAAGGAGCUCCACAAGGAGUGAAAAAGAUGUGGCAACGAGGCUGGGCUUGUACACUUCACGAUGAAUUCACAUAAGAGAAUGAAGAAACUUCAUGUGCAUGUAAAAAAAAAAUAAAAGAUUUCGAUGUUUCA